rnacentral:rRNA from 1 species
GAUGAACGCUGGCGGCGUGCCUAAUACAUGCAGGUCGAGCGAACGGACGAGAAGCUUGCUUUUCUGAUGUUAGCGGCGGACGGGUGAGUAACACGUGGAUAACCUACCUAUAAGACUGGGAUAACUUCGGGAAACCGGAGCUAAUACCGGAUAAUAUUUUGAACCGCAUGGUUCAAAAGUGAAAGACGGUCUUGCUGUCACUUAUAGAUGGAUCCGCGCUGCAUUAGCUAGUUGGUAAGGUAACGGCUCACCAAGGCAACGAUGCAUAGCCGACCUGAGAGGGUGAUCGGCCACACUGGAACUGAGACACGGUCCAGACUCCUACGGGAGGCAGCAGUAGGGAAUCUUCCGCAAUGGGCGAAAGCCUGACGGAGCAACGCCGCGUGAGUGAUGAAGGUCUUCGGAUCGUAAAACUCUGUUAUUAGGGAAGAACAUAUGUGUAAGUAACUGUGCACAUCUUGACGGUACCUAAUCAGAAAGCCACGGCUAACUACGUG